GGACAUGGCGCCGAGAAAAGGGGGCAUGGCUCUAUGCCUUGCUAUUUUGCUUUAGAUUUAACACUAAAUUGAUCCUUCUUCUUGAGCUUUAUGGUCUAUUUUACAGGUCAACUUGUAUAAUUAAAAAAACAAAACAAUAUGGCUGACCAGAAAUCUUUCUCAUCUGUAAUCGGAAAAUUUCUUUAAAAACAAAAAUAACGAUUAUAAGAAAUGAUUCCUAAUAAUUAUUCUAGUAAUGAUGAAGGGUUUAUUAAAUUGAUUCCAUAUUACUUAUAAGACUUCGUACAUAAAUACAUUUCCUUAGACUGUUAAAAAUAUUUUAUUUUUAAAAAUCGGCAAACAUUCGUAAAUAAGGAGCUAUUUGAUUGGUCAGAUUUUAAAAUUUUUCUUUGCUUUUCUCUGAUUGGUUAACGGUAAUUUACCCACGCCAUUUUGAAAAAUAGAUCGACGAACCGAAUUGAGAGAGUUGGUGAUGUUUAAUAAAAUUUAGCUAAUAUUCGCCGAUGAAAUUGGUAGAAAAUAGAUGUUUAGCUACAGUAUGUUAGCAUGGAUCACAUUUAUAAACAAAGAAAAGCGAAAACGGAAGGAGGUUGGCGUUUUUCAAGCAUCAUGCCCUGGCUUUCCUGGUGUAAACAACGCCAUAUGCGUUUGAGUGCCUCUGCAGAGCCAAAGAAGAAAAGAUGAUUAGUUAUAGAGGAAUAGGUCACCCACCCACCCACCCUACCCCUUGAAGCAUUACAGAUUAUGCAGGACCAAGCAGGAUGACAGUGAGAAAACUGGAGAUGUACUUCUUCAACAAAGUAAAGUGCUGUACAAAAGAAACCCCAAAGCAGAGAGGAGAUCUAGACUUUUGAAUUCAUAUUUCAUUAUAAAUGUACAAUUUACAAAGACAAUAAGAUUGAUAAAACAUGACUUAGAAAUGAGGACAAUUGAAGAGUGAAUACUGUAUGUAAGACAGAAAAGAUCAAGAUUAUUGCACAAAAAGUAACUAAAUCAGUAAUCUAAAGCCAUUUCUCUUUAAAAUCUGAUUGAAAGCUGCAUUUAAGAACAAGUGUUUCACGUUUUUAGUACUUUUCUAGGCACUGCUUUGUAUUAUUUAAAGCUUUUUUAUGUACUUUUUGUCUAUCAUUCUUGUACCUUUUUUGAACUCCUUAAUGUAUUUUUUUUGUAUUUUUCAGAAUGUAUUAUUUUUAGAUUUUUUUGUUUUAAAUGCGAUUUUAAUACAGAAAUAAUAGACUGAUACAAAAUUAAUACAUUUUGUAUUAUUUUCCUAUUUUUUUUUUCAAGGUGCUUUAAAUAAUACAGAAAUAAUAGACUGAUACAAAAUUAAUAUAUUUUGUAUUAUUUUCCUAUUUUUUUUUCAAGGUGCUCCAAAUAAUACAGAAAUAAUAGACUGAUACAAAAUUAAUACAUUUUGUAUUAUUUUCCUAUUU